rnacentral:lncRNA from 1 species
GCUGUUUCGAGUACACCAUUGACACAUAGAAUGUGACAGCAGAUAAGAACCAUUCUGCCCAAUUUUCUAAAUACCUUAUCUUAUAAUUAGGAUAGCUUUAUGCCUAUCCCACGCAUGCUUAAACUCCUUUACUGUGUCAACCUCUACCACUUCAGCUGGAAGGCUAUUCCAUGCAUCCACUACCCUCUCAGUAAAGUAAUACUUUCUGAUAUUAUUUUUAAACCUUUGCCCCUCUAAUUUAAGACUAUGUCCUUUUGUUGUGGUAGUUUUUCUUCUUUUAAAUAUGGUCUCCUCCUUUACUGUGUUGAUUCCCUUUAUGUACUUAAAUGUUUCUAUCAUAUCCCCCCUGUCUCGUCUUUCUUCCAAGCUAUACAUGUUAAGAUCCUUUAACCUUUCCUGGUAAGUUUUAUCCUGCAAUCCAUGAACCAGUUUAGAAGCCCUUCUCUAAACUCUCUCUAAGGUUUCAAUAUCCUUCUGAAGAUACGGUCUCCAGUAUUGCGUACAAUACUCCAAGUGAGAUCUCACCAGUGUUCUGUACAAUGGCAUGAGCACUUCCCUGUUUCUACUGCUAGCAUUUCCUCCUGGUCUAUUACAUUGUCUGCCUACCUUUAAGUCAUCAGAAAUAAUCACCCCUAAAUCCCUUUCCUCAGAUGUUGAGGUUAGGACUCUAUCAAAUAUUCUGUACUCUGCCCUUGGGUUUUUACAUCCAAGAUGCAUUAUCUAGCACUUAUCCACAUUAAAUGUCAGUUGCCACAACUCUGACCAUUUUUCUAGUUUGCCUAAAUCAUUUGUCAUUUGGCUUAUCCCUCCUGGAACCCUGUUACAUAUCUUAGUAUCAUCAGCAAAAAGACAUACCUUACCAUCAAGACCUUCUGCAAUAUCACUAAUAAAAAUAUUAAAGAGAAUGGGUCCAAGUACAGAUCCCUGAGGUACCCCACUGGUGACUACAACCCUCUGUUGCCUGUCACUCAGCCACUGCCUUACCCACUCAACAACAUUGGAAUCCAAACUUAAAGAUUGCAAUUUAUUGAUAAGUCUUCUAUGUGCAACAGUGUCAAAAGCCUUACUGAAAUCUAGGUAAGCGAUGUCUACUGCACCACCCUGGUCUAUAAAAAUCAAUAAGAUUAGUUUGGCAUGAUCUCCCUGAAGUAAGCCCAUUUUGUCUCUGAUCUUGAAAUCCAUGUGUUUUUAGAUGUUCACCAAUCCUAUCCUUUAACAUGGUUUCCAUUACUUUCCCCACUACUGAAGUAAGGCUUACUGGCCUAUAGUUGCCCGACUCCUCCCUAUUACCUUUCUUGUGAAUGGGCACAACAUUCUCUAACUUCCAAUCUUCUGGGACUACUCCUGUUAUCAAUGAUUGGUUAAAUAAAUCUGUUAAUGGUUUUGCUAGUACACCACUAAGCUCUUUUAAUAACUUUGGGUGUAUUCCAUCAGGUCCCAUUGACUUAUUUGUCUUUACUUUUGACAGUUGAAAUAGAACCUCUUCCACUGUAAACCCACAUGUAAUAAAUGACUCAUUUCCACGGUUAUCAGGCCAGUCAUUAACAGUGGCUUGGAGGGUGGGCUCUUGCACCAGCAUAGGCCAGGUACACAAUUGUCCAGCCAGGGCACAGUUCUGGAGGAGGAGGAGGAACCGUGUUCACAGCAGGGUGGCACCCAAUGCAGCUCGUGGGCAUCACUGGAGUGUGGCUGGGGGUAUUUGGAGGACACAGACGAUACACCUCCCACAGAGGACAGCUUGUCCUUGCCUCUGGGCAGCCUGGCACACGAGCGACUACAUGCUGCAGUGCCUGCGCAACAACUGCGGAGUUGCCCACAUUCUAACUUGUGCUGAUUACUGGGUGGCAAGCCUGCUGUAUCCCCGUUACAAGGACAACAUGCCGUCCUUAAUUCCCUCACUGGAGCGUGAUCGGAAGAUGCGCGACUACAAGCGCACGCUGGUGGACUUGCUGCUGAGGGCAUUCCCAACUGACAUCGGGGGCUCAGUGGAAGCACAAGGCGAAGGCAGAGGAGGAGGAAGAGGUCGCCAACGCAGCUGGGGCACCGCCAGCACCUCAGAAGGCAGGGUUAGCAUGGCCGAAAUGUGGAAAAGCUUUGUCAGCAUGCCACAACAACCAGCACCACCAGCUGAUAUGGAAAGUCUUAGCAGGAGGCAGCAUUUCAGCAACAUGGUGGAACAGUACGUGUGCACACGCCUACAUGUACUGACUGGGUCUGCCCCAUUCAACUUCUGGGUCUCCAAAUUGGGCACAUGGCCUGAGCUUGCCCUUUAUUCCUUGGAGGCGCUGGCCUGCCCUGCAGCCAGUGUAUUGUCUGAAUGUGUGUUUAGCACGGCAGGGGGCGUUAUCACAGACAAGCGCAGCCGCCUGUCCACAGCCAAUGUGGACAAGCUCACGUUUAUUAAAAUGAACCAGGCAUGGAUCCCACCAGACUUGUCUGUACCUUGUGCAGAAUAGGCAUUUAUACCGGACUCACCCAGCCAUUGUUAUACUCAAGUGCGCUUAUUCUUUGUUUUCUUUUUUUAUAUGUCCCAAUAUUUUUGGGGCUACCCCAAAAAAUAAAAAACAGUGUUGGCUACCUCCUCCUCCUCC